rnacentral:rRNA from 1 species
ACAUGCAAGUCGAACGGAAAGGCCCUGCUUGCAGGGUACUCGAGUGGCGAACGGGUGAGUAACACGUGGGUGAUCUGCCCUGCACUUCGGGAUAAGCUUGGGAAACUGGGUCUAAUACCGGAUAGGAACCAUCUUUAGUGUGGUGGUUGGAAAGUUUUUUCGGUGUAGGGUGAGCUCGCGGCCUAUCAGCUUGUUGGUGGGGUAAUGGCCUACCAAGGCGGCGACGGGUAGCCGGCCUGAGAGGGUGUACGGCCACAUUGGGACUGAGAUACGGCCCAGACUCCUACGGGAGGCAGCAGUGGGGAAUAUUGCACAAUGGGCGCAAGCCUGAUGCAGCGACGCCGCGUGGGGGAUGAAGGCCUUCGGGUUGUAAACUCCUUUCGCUAGGGACGAAGCUUUUUGUGACGGUACCUAGAUAAGAAGCACCGGCUAACUACGUGCCAGCAGCCGCGGUAAUACGUAGGGUGCGAGCGUUGUCCGGAAUUACUGGGCGUAAAGGGCUCGUAGGUGGUCUGUCGCGUCGUCUGUGAAAUUCUGGGGCUUAACUCCGGGCGUGCAGGCGAUACGGGCAUAACUUGAGUGCUGUAGGGGUAACUGGAAUUCCUGGUGUAGCGGUGAAAUGCGCAGAUAUCAGGAGGAACACCGAUGGCGAAGGCAGGUUACUGGGCAGUUACUGACGCUGAGGAGCGAAAGC